rnacentral:lncRNA from 1 species
GCAGCCACAGCAGUGGUUUCAUUAUCAAAACUCCAGCAAGCAUUCCAGCCAGACUAAUUCCCCGCUGGAUUCACUUAAUGUAGAUCCUCACAAACGAUUACAUGUAAACGUGAGAGGCACCCAGUUUGGAUUCCAGACCAGAAGAAAUCCAGGAAUGGAUUUAAAAAGGAAAGCUGGUUCCCAUCUCCCUGGAGAAUUUAUCUUUAUUAAAGAUGCAAAGGAUCCAGUGGAGGUCUCUGAGGCCCUGGGAGAUGGUAGAGCCACACCAUGAAGGUGCCUGGGUCCCUGAAUGACUGCAUGGAGCUCACUCUACAUUGGACUGUGACACAAGCAAGAAAGGUAGACACUUAGGAGUGGAAUUGCUGAGUCAUACAGUAAUUCUAUGUUUAACAUUUUGAGGAGCUGCCAAACUGUUUCCAAAAUGGCUGCAACAUUCUAUAUUUCCAUCAGCAAGAAGGGCCCAUGUGGCAAGGAACUAAGGGCAGUCUCUGGCCAAAAGCCCACAAGUAACUGAAUUCUGCCAAUAACCAUGAGUUUGGAAGUGGAUCCUUCCCCAUUCGAGUCUCAGAUGAGUCCCCAGCCCUGGCCAACAUCUUCAUGUGCUGUGAGAGACCAUUAAGCAGAGGACCCAGCUAAGCUCUGCCCAGAUGCUCAAUCCACAGAAAAAGAUACUAAGUGUGUGUUGUUUUAAGCUGCUACAUUUGCAGUGGUUUGAUAUGCAGCAAUAGAUAACUGAUACUGCUGUUAAUUGCUUUCUAUUACAAUCAGCUGGAAUAACUGCCCUUGUGCCUACAAUCAGAGAUGUAUUUUGGGAUCAAUUCCCAGACCUGAGAUUGUUCAGUCUAAGGGUAAGGAUAUUUAAUGUGGAAAAAUAACACUAAAUUGUCCUCCAAAAAUA